rnacentral:tRNA from 1 species
GAGGAGUUAGUUAACCUAUAACACUACUUUGUCAAGGUAGAAUAACGAGUUAAAACCUCGUACCCCUCU